AUUGAACGCUGGCGGCAUGCCUUACACAUGCAAGUCGAACGGCAGCACGGGGGCAACCCUGGUGGCGAGUGGCGAACGGGUGAGUAAUGCAUCGGAACGUACCCGGAAGUGGGGGAUAACGUAGCGAAAGUUACGCUAAUACCGCAUAUUCUGUGAGCAGGAAAGCAGGGGACCGCAAGGCCUUGCGACCUUUUAGCGGCCGAUUUCAGAUUAGCUAGUUGGUGGGGUAAAAGCUCACCAAGGCGACGAUCUGUAGCGGGUCUGAGAGGAUGAUCCGCCACACUGGAACUGAGACACGGUCCAGACUCCUACGGGAGGCAGCAGUGGGGAAUUUUGGACAAAGGGGGCAACCCUGAUCCAGCCAUGCCGCGUGAGUGAAGAAGGCCUUCGGGUUGUAAAGCUCUUUCAGCCGGGAAGAAAUCGCAUGGGCUAAUACCCCGUGCGGAUGACGGUACCGGAAUAAGAAGCACCGGCUAACUACGUGCCAGCCGCCGCAGUAAAAC
rnacentral:rRNA from 1 species